rnacentral:rRNA from 1 species
UGGGGAAUAUUGCACAAUGGGCGCAAGCCUGAUGCAGCCAUGCCGCGUGUGUGAAGAAGGCCUUCGGGUUGUAAAGCACUUUCAGCGGGGAGGAAGGCGGUGAGGUUAAUAACCUCACCGAUUGACGUUACCCGCAGAAGAAGCACCGGCUAACUCCGUGCCAGCAGCCGCGGUAAUACGGAGGGUGCAAGCGUUAAUCGGAAUUACUGGGCGUAAAGCGCACGCAGGCGGUCUGUCAAGUCGGAUGUGAAAUCCCCGGGCUCAACCUGGGAACUGCAUUCGAAACUGGCAGGCUAGAGUCUUGUAGAGGGGGGUAGAAUUCCAGGUGUAGCGAUGAAAUGCGUAGAGAUCUGGAGGAAUACCGGUGGCGAAGGCGGCCCCCUGGACAAAGACUGACGCUCAGGUGCGAAAGCGUGGGGAGCAAACAGG